ensembl:misc_RNA Metazoa_SRP Metazoan signal recognition particle RNA
GCCGGGCGCGGUGGCGCGCGCCUGUAGUCCCAGCUCCUUGGGAGGCUGAGGCCGGAGGAUCGCUUGAGUCCAGGAGUUCUGGGCUGUUGUGUGCUAUGCCGAUUGGGUGUCCGCACUAAGUUCAGCAUCAAUAUGGUGACCUCCUGGGAGCAGGGGACCACCAGGUUGCCUAAGGAGGGGUGAGCCGGCCCAGGUUGGAAACGGAGCAGGUCAAAACUCCUGUGCAGAUCAGAAAUUAUAUAAGAAGUUGUUAUAAUAUGUUUAAGAGUCAUUCUUUUAAAUUAUCUAGUUU